rnacentral:rRNA from 1 species
AUUGAACGCUGGCGGCAGGCCUAACACAUGCAAGUCGAGCGGAUGAAGGGAGCUUGCUCCUGGAUUCACCGGCGGACGGGUGAGUAAUGCCUAGGAAUCUGCCUGGUAGUGGGGGAUAACGUCCGGAAACGGGCGCUAAUACCGCAUACGUCCUGAGGGAGAAAGUGGGGGAUCUUCGGACCUCACGCUAUCAGAUGAGCCUAGGUCGGAUUAGCUAGUUGGUGGGGUAAAGGCCUACCAAGGCGACGAUCCGUAACUGGUCUGAGAGGAUGAUCAGUCACACUGGAACUGAGACACGGUCCAGACUCCUACGGGAGGCAGCAGUGGGGAAUAUUGGACAAUGGGCGAAAGCCUGAUCCAGCCAUGCCGCCUGUGUGAAGAAGGUCUUCGGAUUGUAAAGCACUUUAAGUUGGGAGGAAGGGCAGUAAGUUAAUACCUUGCUGUUUUGACGUUACCAACAGAAUAAGCACCGGCUAACUUCGUG